GAGAAAUUAAGUCCAACAGUUGGACGUUAAUAUAUGAUCAAAGCUGGGCUCCAGCAACUUGGGGUAUUGGAAUUGAAAACUUUGCAAACUGCAGAAGGUUUACACCACAGCAAAGGCAUUCUUCUCGCCUCAAGCAACACACAAGUAUGUGUGCAUGAUUGUUUGGGGACUUGGCAGCAAGGAGCAGUGGAAAUAAUUCUUUGGAAACGAAGAGAAUAAGCAAAACAUGAGGGUGGGGAUGGGCCGAUUUUCUCUGCCUCACGCGGUUUUGGUGGC
rnacentral:lncRNA from 1 species